GGUCGGGUGGUGUAGUUGGUUAUGUAAGUAUUCAACUCUCAUCGACUCUUCAGCACCAAGUACUAAUAAGCAACAGCACAUCUCGUUAACAGUUUACUGUAACAAACUCCGAGAAGGUCCUGGGAUCGAGCCCCAGCCUGAUCA